UUGAGUCCACGUGGAAGGCAUGUGCUUAACCACCUCCCUUCUCCUCCCUCCCAACUGCCGGGAACAUGGACUUACAAUCAAAUUACACAGAAGAAAGGCAAGACUGGAAAGAUAAAGUGCCUUGUUCAAGAUCAUCAGCAGUGGACAGCAACUGGAAACUCUGAAGAGUGUGAACUCUGUGAGCAAUGAAUGAAUUGGUGAUUGGGUGAACCACUUAAACCCUUUAAUUAGAAAAUAAGGAAAGAAAUUGGGGAAGUUUGGAGAGUGAAAGAUGUUGCUAUGAAUACUCAUUGCCGGACAACAGGAUGCUCCCAGGGAGACUGGGGUCUAUGGCCAGCUUCAUAUGUCACAACACACAAGGGAGGAGAGAGAUGGCAUUUCCUGCUGACUUUACCUGAAAGGAAAAACCAGUUUCUCAGAAGCCCUAAAUGAAGCCCUUCCCGAGAUUCACUGGCUUGAGUUGGGUAAUGUCGCCAUAAUGAUCCAAAUCCUCUGGGAAUGCCAAAUGCUGAUUGUGUUUUUGAGCUCUUCAGUCAGUACAUAGAUAAAUUACCUUAGACCAGCGAUUUUCAAAGUGCAGUUAGGGGACCUCUAGGGGCCCCUGAGACCCAUU